UUCUAUAGGUGUGGUCAAAUAGAAACUGUACUUCAUGAUAUGUGUGAGAUAUGACUAAUAAUCCUUUUAUAAUUAUAUCAUCAUAGGGGCUCAAGGUGUUGGAUUUUGGCCAUAUAUUGUAGUAUCUUCCCUUGUCUUCAUCCUUAUUUGUGUAAUUACUGGAGUCUUCAUAUAUAAAAGGCGACACAGGCACCAAUCCGACAGAACAUAUGCAAAUAUGAGAGCAGAAUACAAGUCAAACAACAUUUGCAUUGUGUCAGGAAACGUGCCUUUAUCCAAGCGUUUUAUGUUGUCAACCAAAGAGGGCGAUUAUGAGGCUGUUUACAACAACAUGGGCAAGCUCAGCGUGUAUUAAAAUGCCUGAUGAUGAUGAUGAACAAAACAAAAUAUGCUUAGCAUAAUGUAUGCUUUAAAAAAUAUAAAAGUCUGUAGCAGGUAUUGACUUUAUCAAUGCUUUCCAGUAUGUUUGUGUGGGAAC